rnacentral:lncRNA from 1 species
GUGAUGAUGGUGAUGAUCCUUAUGGUGGGGAUGACGAUGGUGCUGAUCAUGAUGAAGGGUCAGCUGAGUAGCCCAGGAUGAAAAGGAAGCCUCAUCUACGCAUUGGGGGUGUAGUUUUGAAAACACAGAUUUUCCUACCUAGCAGAUAUAAAUUCAAACACAAUUGCUGUCAUCUGAUAGCCCUAGGACUUGGAGCAACUUACGUAAAUGUUCUGGACUUGUGUUUCAUUGAAAACAAACAAUACAAUGGGAAAAAGCGGGAACCAGUGCCUUCCUUCCAAGAUUUGUUGCGAUGGUUCAACGCGAUGUCAGGAGAGGCAGCAACACAAUGCCUGCGGGACAGGCCGCUCGAAAGCAGCUCUGGUGAACAAGAGUUUACAGUGAGGGCGAGGUGGGCACGUGUGUCUAGGAAUACAACAGGAGGUCCAUUUGAGCAUCACCGACUUGCUCGUUUGGAUUGGAUCAACAAGCCCUCGAUGAGCACCUGCUGGAGAUGGCGCGGUGCUAAGUGCUGGGAAGACAGAGAUGAGCAAGAUCUUUCAGCAACUUUCUGAGCCGUCCCAGGGCCAACGACUUGUGAACAACCCAAAGACCCCUGCAGUGGCUAAGGCAGACCAGUGAAGGCCCUCGCCCUCCACCCAUGUGCCUGAGCCCUGCACGGGGCUGCUGCCAUCCUCCUGGGGCGGUGGGCCCGCUUGCAGGCCUCCAGGGUGUUCCCCAGCCCUCGGGGUGACGGGAGGGGGCUGGAGGAAGCCUCAAUCCUGUCCUGCCGAGGCUGGACAAAGAGUUUAUUUCCCAGGGGAGUCCCUCUUGUGCUGUGUGGUGCAAGAAGGUGCACAGACAGUCCAGGGGCCGGAGCUCUGGGCCCCAAAGUGUCACCAACUGCUCCUCCCUUGACCCAGGUUCUGGGCUACAUGGAGGAAACCAAAACACCUGGCUUCAACCCCACAGCAGCAGGGUAGGAGCCGAGGGGCUCCUUGUUUUCAGCUGAGGCUGGAAGUGGAUAAGACAAUGAGGGAGUGCAAUUCACUCUGGUUCCCUGAAGGUUUUCGUACAGGGAGGGAAGGGACCUACCGGCCCUCGGGCUCAGCAUCUGUUCCACGGGCGAAGCCUGCACCCAGCAACACAACAGUUACCAAGCAAGCAAUGGAGGUGAGAACUCUCCUCUCUCCCCUCUCCCCCCUCCCCUUUUCUAUCACUCCUUCUUUAUGCCCCACCCCCCACCUCC